rnacentral:ncRNA from 1 species
CGUUCUCAGGGCGGGGUGCGAUUCCCCACCGGCGGUGAUGGCCUGAUGGCCUAGCCCGCGAGCGCUUGUCAGGGGACCACCCGAGCAAGGUCAGCAGAUCCGGUGCGAUCCCGGAGCCGACGGUAUAGUCCGGAUGAGAGAGAGCG